rnacentral:rRNA from 1 species
GCUACGACGGGUAGCGGGACUGAGAGGUUGGCCCGCCACAUCGGGACUGAGACACUGCCCGGACCUCCACGGAGGGCUGCAGUAACGAAUAUUGGGCAAUGGGCGAAGCCUGACCCAGCAAUGCCGCGUGCAGGAUGAAGCCUUUCGGGGUGUAAACUGCUUUCAGGGAUUAGAAAGCUACGGUUGAUCAAUCCCAGAAGAAGUCACGGCUAACUUCGUGCCAGCAGCCGCGGUAAUACGAAGGUGGCAAGCGUUAUUCGAAAUCACUGGGCUUAAAGGGCGCGUAGGCGGACAUGACAGUGUCUUGUGAAAUCCCCCGGCUUAACCGGGGAAUUGCGGGACAAACUACAUGUCUUGAGGCAAGCAGGGGUGUGUGGAACUCUUGGUGGAGCGGUGGAAUGCGUAGAUAUCAAGAGGAACGCCGAAGGUGAAGACAGCACACUGGGCUUGUACUGACGCUGAGGCGCGAAAGCGUGGGGAGCAAACAGGAUUAGAUACCCUGGUAGUCCACGCCGUAAACGAUGUCUACUAGGUUGUGGGGAUUCUGACAUUCUCACAGUCGAAGCAAAAGUGUUAAGUAGACCGCCUGGGGAGUACGGUCGCAAGGCUAAAACUCAAAGGAAUUGACGGGGGCUCACACAAGCGGUGGAGCAUGUGGAUUAAUUCGAAGCAACGCGCAGAACCUUACCUGGGUUUGACAUGUACGGAUGCCUAUCUGGAAACAGAGUCGGCUGCCCUCGGGGAAACUUACACAGGUGCUGCAUGGCUGUCGUCAGCUCGUGUCGUGAGGUGUCGGGUUAAGUCCUUUAACGAGCGAAACCCUUACCGUUAGUUGCCAGCGCGUCAUGGCGGGGACUCUAGCGGGACUGCCGGUGUUAAACCGGAGGAAGGCGGGGAUGACGUCAAGUCCUCAUGGCCUUUAUGCCCAGGGCUUCACACGUGCUACAAUGGCCGUUACAGAGCGACGCGAUACCGCGAGGUGGAGCAAAUCGCAAAAAAACGGCCCCAGUUCAGAUUGCAGGCUGUCAACUCGCCUGCAUGAAGGUGGAAUCGCUAGUAAUCGCGUAUCAGCGAUGACGCGGUGAAUGUGUUCCUGAGCCUUGUACACACCGCCCGUCAAGUGAUGGGAGUUGGGAGUACCCGAAGUCGGAUUGCUAACUUUUUAAGAGGCGUCUGCCGACGGUAAGCUCGAUGACUGGCACUAAGUCGUAACAAGGUA